ACCCCUCGCAGGUGUGCCCAGAGGCUGACAUAAGCUAGGUGACCCCUCGCAGGUGUGCCCAGAGGCUGACAUAAGCUAGGUGACCCCUCGCAGGUGUGCCCAGAGGCUGACAUAAGCUAGGUGACCCCUCGCAGGUGUGCCCAGAGGCUGACAUAAGCUAGGUGACCCCUCGCAGGUGUGCCCAGAGGCAUCUCCUGUGCGUGACUCUAG